AUGCAGAAGGACCCAGCAAAUUUAACUUGAAUAGACUGACCCUCUUGUUUUGUCUCCUCCAGGAAGCAUCUCAGAAUUGCUGCUGCUCUUUUAUCACCCAAAGUCCGGCCCGCGGCUUGUUUGUGAACUCAUGCGCAGAUGAUAGUGGACUUGGACUAUGUUUACAGGCGGAGGGGAUGGUUUGCGUUGUCAUGGUAUCAGUGUUAUCAUGAAGCUUUACUGCUCUGAUGGCUUUGUGAUUGGACGCUGUGGAAGCGCUCGCUGUAGGAGAAUGCUGGAAGCUUAGCUUGACUGACUCUGAAAUCUUCCGUAGAAAAGUGGACGUGACUGCUGAGGCACAACAGAACAGUGACAGUUUGCCUAUAGUCACUGUUAAAGUGAACAAGUAUAAAUAGUACAUUUAAGUCAAAUUACUGUAUUAAAAAAAAUAAUAAUAAUAUAUGAUAAUUGCACAAUCUACACUGCGAUAGCUAACAAAUGGAUAAUGGGUGACCUGAAAGGGUUUUCAUAUAUAUAUAUAUAUAUAUAAUUAUUAUUUUUUAUUUUUUUUUAUUUAUGUACCAUUUAUUUAUUUUAGUUUUACGAUUGNAUUAUUGUCUAUGUUUGUCUUUUUAACAGUCUUCCUGUUUCCCAUUUUUAUGUUUAAUGCAGGCAGGUUGUGAAGGUUGCAAGUUUUAUAAUAUACCGUGCAUCGAAAACUAAAAUUAAUCUGUGGCCAUUGUUAUUUAAAUGUCCGGAAAAUGUGUUUUAGUUAGGUUAUUUGUUUCCCCAGUUUUUUUUUUUUUUUGAAGUUGUUUAUUUAUUUAGUUUUUGUUAACAGUAGCACUCAAUAUCACUGGGGCUGUUCCUUUAAGAAUAGAUUCAGCUGGUCUUAGAUCAGAGGAAAAGAGGGGAUUUUAUCCUGAAUAAUGGUCCUGACAGACUGCUUUUCUUCCCAGGGAGUGCAGUCAUGGCCACUGAAGCGUGCUGUGUUCACCCCCUCAUCGUCUGGCACUUUUUCCCUCCAUCGUUCUAGAGGAAACAGAAUAAAGAAGGGAAGGCGAAGCCAGCUAGAGAAACCAAGCGUGAAGAUGUCCAGAAACUGCUGGCACUGUGGAACACUCGGCAGUUCGGCCUGAUAAAACCCUUCCCAAAGAGUGGAG
rnacentral:lncRNA from 12 species